UGGUGGUAGUUCAUUGUUUUGGUUGUCAUCUGUUCAGUGGCUCAUGAACUCGUGGUUUUUCUUGGCAGCACUGAAAGUUCAUGAGCUCUUUCAGAAGGCAAACAGAGGAGUUUCGAAUCAUUUUAUCUAUGAAUAUCAGUUUAUUAUUUUUCAUAGGAAAGUUUUAUGCUGAAGCAGCAAUAAUGAAAGUGAUAUUGUUUUCAAUAAAAUAUAAAAUAUUUGUAUAAUUGUUUUUAUCUAUCUAUAUAUAAAAAAAUGAAACCCGUUUCCCGUUGUCACGCCAUAACUUGAGAACGGCUAGACCGAUUUGGCUGUUGUUUUGUUUGUAGUUUUAUAAUACUCUGUAGAAGGUUAUUACGGAAAAAAAUAUUAAGAAAAUGUCUCAGAAAGAUUGAAAAAAUACAUUUAAUUUUGCAUAUUUUAAAAAAUACGCGCAACGAAUGUCAUCGUCAUUCACAGCCAUAGACUAUAUUGAAAGAGCAUCGUUUGUUCGGAAAUGUGGUUACAUAAUUGAAUUCUAUCGCACUAAUUUACUAAUUUUUGAAAAUUACUCCCCACAAUUAAAUGUACCGACUUUGACGGUAAUAUCAGAGAUCGUAUAUUAUAGAGAAGGUUCAAUUGCGGACCAGCGUGUGAAUUAUGAUAUACGUUCUCUGUUAAUAAUACCAGUGAUGACAUUUUAAUUUUGAUUUUCGUUUUUAAAAAUACCACCAGCAGACGUACAAACUUAGACCGCAGAACUCGAAAUACUGCAAGUCAAAGAUAUAUUAAGAGCAAUUCAAACAAUUUUACUGUAUUGAAUAGUAUGUAAUUAAUGUAUAACUUAGCCACAGCAACGCGUGGGCGGGGUCCUCUAGUAUAAAAUAAAAUUGGUAGCAAAUAUAUGUGUCUAAUUAUAUUAUGUCAUCCUUGGCCGAGAAGAUGUUAAUAACAAUGACGGGGUGCGACUACGUCAACAAGCGAAGAAAACAGUGGAAAACAAUGUUCUCGAAAAUCGUCGAAUGGAUCGAUGGACGGAUGUUUUGGACAUGAAACGUGUGGCAGCGAAGUUUGUUCCGAAAUUGGUUAAUUUUGAGAAUCAUAACCAGGCUGCCAGAUGAGCCAAGACCGAAAAAGGCACGUUCGAUCAAAUGUGAAAGUUUUGCUCACUGUUUUCUUUGAUUACAAUUGUGCGGUGGUAAUAAGGAAUAAUACAAGGAAGGUAUACAACGUUUACGUGAAGCAAUACGGCUCAAACAAUCGGAAUUGUGUUAAAACACAUCGUGGAUUCUGCAUCACGAUAAUGCACCAGCUCACACAGCAAUGCUUAUUCGUGAUUUUAUGGCCUGUAAUCAUGCAUCAACCACCGUAUUCACCAGAUUUGGCUCCCUUCGACUUUUUCGUAUUCCAAAAACUGUUGAAAAUGAAAGGAAAGCGUUAUGCCACAAUUGAUGAGAUCGAGUCAGAAUCGAAGAAAGAGCUGAUGGCCAUACCGAAAAGCGCAUUUGUAGUAAAACAUAGUUUGUAAACAUUUUUGUAUUUUAAUUUUAUUCAUAUGCAGUUUUGUCUUUACACUUUGCAGAGAUUCACAUUUAAAGUUUUGUGUACAUGUAUUACAUAGAAUUGAGAAUAUUCCACAUAAUAGAGUAUUAAAUGUUAAGUAUUCGAAUGUUGCAAGUACAUUAUUCUGUAUGUCCUAAGUUAUGCACCUCAAAAAGAAGUAAAUAAUAUCGUUCGUAGCAAAAAUAAAUUGAAUGAUAUUUAGUCUUAUUUUAUAAAUGAAAACAAAAGUCAACAAAAAAGACAUAUAAACAUGUAAAUAAUCUCAUAUAAAAUUAAUCUUAUGAAAAUAAGUUUGUGAAUAAGCAAAUACAUAUCUUUGGUAUAUUAAGGAAAUAUGUAAGUAUGUGUAUAUAUAUAAACAAGCAAUAUACCGAUAAUAGAAAAAAAUUUAGUGAGAUUUGACACCGUGUGAGAUUUAAUUUUUUAAACACAGUAUAAAAAUGUUAUUUUCGCUUUGACUUAUAUAAAUAUUAAAUGAUAAUUGCACAAAAAUAGUCAACUCUUAAUUUUUUGGAAUAAAAUGUCUGUGUUGAGUAUUUAAUCUACAUCUUAAUAAAUAUAUUAUUAUUUAAGCAAAAAUUAUAUGUAAACAAAAGCGAGCUUUUAUCUGUGUGAAGUCUUUGGUUAAGGUUAGUCGGCAAGAAUCUGACUUCUAAUUUAUAAAUUUCAACGAUAUUUCAAAUAUCAUUGGUUUUUUUUUGUUCAUGACAAAAUGAUACUACAAUACAUGACUUGCAUCAGUA